rnacentral:rRNA from 1 species
UACGGAGGGUGCAAGCGUUGCUCGGAAUCACUGGGCGUAAAGCGACCGCAGGCGGCCUGACAAGUCGGAUGUGAAAGCCCUGGGCUCAACUCAGGAAUUGCAUUCGAAACUGGCAGGCUCGAGUACGGGAGAGGGGGGUGGAAUUCCUGGUGUAGGGGUGAAAUUCGUUGAUAUCAGGAGGAACACCGGCGGCGAAGGCAGCUCGCUGGGACGGUACUGACGCUGAGGCGCGAAAGCGUGGGGAGCAAACAGG